rnacentral:rRNA from 1 species
CACGGAGUUAGCCGGUGCUUAUUCAUAAAGUACCUUCAGCUACUUACACGUAAGUAGGUUUAUUCCCUUAUAAAAGCAGUUUACAACCCAUAGGGCAGUCAUCCUGCACGCGGCAUGGCUGGUUCAGGCUUCCGCCCAUUGACCAAUAUUCCUCACUGCUGCCUCCCGUAGGAGUCUGGUCCGUGUCUCAGUACCAGUGUGGGGGACCAUCCUCUCAGACCCCCUACCAUCGUUGCCAUGGUAAGCCGUUACCCUACCAUCUAGCCAAUGGGACGCAUGCCCAUCCUUUUCCGUAACCUUUAACUCCACAACCAUGCGAUCAUAAAGUACCAUGGGGUAUUAAUCCGAAUUUCUUCGGGCUAUCCCCCAGAAAAGGGUAGGUUGCAUACGCGUUACUCACCCGUGCGCCGGUCGCCACCAUGUAAACAAGUUUACAUUAUGCUGCCCCUCGACUUGCAUGUGUUAGGCCUGCCGCUAGCGUUCAUCCUGAGCCAGGAUCAAACUC